rnacentral:lncRNA from 1 species
CCCCGUGGCAGAACCCCCCUCUCUCCCUACUGCCAUAGGGAUCCAGCCCCUGCUGAAGAUCAAGGGGAGACCUGGGCAAGAGAAGACAGCUGGUUGGAUUUGUGGGACAUCUAACUGUAAUGUCUUAUAAGCCCCUGUUGAAGUUGCUUCUCUUCUCCAGAAGGUCUCCAGAUAACGUCAUGGCAUUCCAAGAACCACCCAAUGUAUCUCUGCUUCCCAGUUUAGAUGCUGUGCAGUCUGCUCAGGUAAGCCCAGCCUGGGAGCCUCUUUUUCUUCUGGUCCAGAAGGUCUUUCCUAUGUAUGGGUGGGGUGGCAGAGGUUUUCUUGGCUUUGUCAACAUAGAUUAA